GCAUGAUGAUAUUAAAUCAUAUGAAAUUUUUUUAAAAAAAUAUUUUAUUAUGAAAUAGUAUUAAAUGAUGAAUUGGCGCAUCUUGCCCUGAACCAUAUAAAACUGACACUUCCAACUUUUAAGCUAUACAACAUUUGGCAUUUGGGUCCUUUUGUUUUUUCCAAUGGUGAGAAAAAUCAUAUUUCUUCCUUAAUAUUUCUCUUCGUUUUCAUACAUGACAUAUACGUGACGUGAUCAAUAUUGAAACGUAAUUGACACAAAUAAAUUUAAAUACAAAGAUAUAUCAUUUCACAAACCAAAAUGCUAAAAAAAAUUAAAUUUAUGAAUUAAAGUGCAAACAUAAAUUGAGAUAUAUAAUUCAAACAGAAAAUUUACCUUAUAAUUAUACAAACUUAGACACAAAUUAACACAAUAAAAUCAUGAUCACAAGUUAUCUAAAAUUUCAUUUCUCUUGUUUUGGUAAAUAAAAAUUCAUUUCUCUAGCACCAUCGAAGAUAGGAACGUUUGAAAACCAUGGUUUUAUUCUGUUUCUUUAUUUCAGUGAGAUUAUUGCCUAAUUUUAUAAUUUGAAAAAGUUAAUAUCAUAUACUCCCGUAAAUUCAAAACAAUAUCUAGUCAAUAUUCUACUACCGUUAGCAUGUUGUCUCUACUUUUUAUUAACCACAAAAAAAGUAAAAAAAUAAAAAAUGUCUACCUUAGAAAGUGUAGAUUGAGACACGACUAUGACAUGCAGUACAUUGGACAGUGGCCAGAGCUGGUUUAGCCGCUCCUCCAUUUUCUUCUAUUCAACUUGUGCUCACCAUGGCUAUGGAGAUCACGGAAGAAAUUUCAAUGGAGCAAAAAGCGUAUGCUCUCGUAUCUAAUACAGCAGUGGGACCCACUGUGGGAGCACUAGAAUUUUUUUCUCCCACACCACAACCUCUGCAACCCUUUCCUCCCACCUCUCUCUCUCUCUCUCUCUCUCUCUCCCCUACCCAGCACCACCACCACCACCACCAUGAAAAUUAACCUUGUCUUUGCUUCCUUCUCUAUCCUUAUCGUCCUCUUCGCGCCAGACCAUAAUUUUGAAAACAGAGCCGAACCCUAACCCUCCGACAUUGACACUUCCUUGUUCGAGAGGAUAUGUCAGUUUUGAGCCUCCAGAAAUCCCCCAAGGCUUUUUCGUUUUCUCCACCCUCAACCUGUCCUUCGGCGUUAGGGUUCUGAUGGAUUCCAUAUGGGUGAAGAAAGAAAACAGGUGGAUUUUGGUUCUAAAAGUUCAAAGAAUGAGAUCAAACAACUCUUCCUUCCAAAGCAGCUUGGAAACAGCAAUUGUCAUAUAACCACACGUAACCUCUUAUUUUAUUGUUAUUUGGACAGAUCUGGAUGCCUCCCCACCGUAUGAGGGGUUGAGUUAUUAUUAUUAUUAUUAUUUUGGACAAAUCUGGGUUUGAGUUUGAUUUUUAGUUUUUGAUAUUUGUUUACAGUUUUUAAGGUUUCCGGGUUUGUGUUUAUGGGGUUUCUGGGUAGACUUUGAUAUUUAGGUCUUUCAUUUUUGUUUACGGUAUUUAAGGUUUCUGGGUUCAUGGGGUUUCUGGGUUUAAGUUUGAUUUUUAGGUUUUUUAUAUUCCUUUAUGGUUUUUAAGGUUUCUGGGUUUGGGUUUAUGGGGUUUCUGGUUUUGAGUCGGAAUUUAUUUAGCGUUUCGUCAAAUUACUGCUUUGGUUAUAUAACACACAAAAUUUUCCAGUUACUAGUUGAUUUAGGUUUCUCGUACAUUUAAUUUGUUAGGGUUUAUGAUUUUUAGAUUAAUGUUAAUGGUACUAGAGAUGGAAUAAUUUCAAGGGAUAUCAGAAGCCAGAGCCAUACCAGCUUCAUUUGCUAAUUUUUCCACUUUCCAAACUUUUUUAAUCAGGGUCUUGAUCUUGCUCUCUGGUAAAGCUAAUUCAAGCCACACUUUAUUCAUUGCUUUACAUAUUCAUACUGUUUAUAGAAACAGAAACAACAUUUUUUUUCUGUUACUAAAUUGAUGUUUUUUAGGUUCAAAGGUUUAGAUGGACACCGGAAGCCGUGGUACGUUUGACCUCGGCUACUGCAUCCAUCUACUCAAGCUAAGAGGUCUUUUCCAAUGCGAUACAAACUCUUUUACCGUCAUUUCUUGAACAACUGCUUCAAGGUUCAGUCCAUGAUUUCUUUUGCUAAGUUUGCCAAAUCUGUGAAGAAAAUGGGUCGGAUUAAAAAUGUUAAAACAGGGUCUGAGGGUAAAAUUAGGAAGGUCUGUGUUUUGGUGAAUGUGUAGAGUCUUAGCAAUAAUAUUCUUCUAUCCCAGCAAUAAUAUUAGAGAUCUUAAAAUUUUUAUUAAAUGAUGUGAUUUUGGAUGUGAUAAUAAUUAUUUAUUUAUUUUAAAAUUUUAUUUUUUUAUAUUUAAGUUAUAUAAAUAUGUGAAUUAAUAAUAUUUUUUAGUAUAUAUCAUUUGAUGACAAAUAAAUCCGAGGAAUAUUAUGGUAUUUGCACUGCAUUGAGAAUCCUAGUUAGUGUCUUUUUUAUCUAUUGUGAUUGAUUUAUAUUCAUUAAAUUUUAUUAUGUCUCACGAAGAAUAAUAAAAUUAUUGAGCUGUAUUGUAUUGUUUUAUUCUCAGCUUCUAUUUGUUGAUAGAAAUAUGCAAGGAAAAUUUCUUAUGAGAUAACGUAAUAUAUUAGAGUUUCUUAAACAUUUAUUUAUUGUGUCUCUUUCAUCUAAUUUUGAGCUCUAAUUAAUGCUUUUCUGUAAAAUAUUUUAUAAUUGAGGAAUUUCCUUUUCUCCAUUAGAAACCAUUUUCUUUUUAUAUUUUUUUUCCUAGACUUUUUUACUUUUUUUUUUUAUAUUUUUCUCCAAACAUAUUAGUAAUGGUCAGUUGGUAAUGAUCGGUUGGAGGUUUUCUGAUUCUCACAAAGGGUUUAAAAGAUGUGAAGGAUGCUUUGUUUUUUCUAGCAGUUGGAUGCAACGGUCAUUUCCAACAUUCAAAAUUCUCUUUGUUAUUAUUAUUUUCUAAUGUUAAGGUAGUUUUAAAAUUUUAAGGGGUAAGAUCGAUACUAUCAAUUUAAAGAAUUUUUAGUAUCAAAAAACUUUGUGUAACUAAUCAUACCAUGUAUUCACCCACAAAAAAAAAAAUUAAAUAAAUAAAUAAAUAAAAAAUCAUACCAUGUUGGAAAGAGUGUUUUUAUUCGGAUUUUUUGUUUUUCAUCAACAAAGUAUUGAAUCUGUGAUCACCAAUGAUUAUUGUUUACUGUGCGAGAAGUAUAAUAUUUUACUGAACGACUUAUGGAUUUUGAUGAAGGAAUAUUUGGAUGGAAGUUAAGUGUUGUGACAAUUUUUAAUAUUUUCAAAACCUAAAAGGACUUAUUCCUAAUAAUGCCAAAUGUCGGAUGGCUUUGAUGUUCUAAAAGAAAAAGAAAAAAAAAAUGAAAAAGGGACAAACAUGUCUGCUCUCAAAAACAAUAGGCAAACGAGUUCGGCAAUAAACUUGCAAAAUCUACGAAAAGAAAUAUACCAAAUGGACAACGACUUUGUGAUGGAAGAACCAUAAGAAGGCAACUUGGAAGUCAUUUCUGGAACUCAAUUUUUUACUGGUAAUUUGUGAAAAACUCAUCUAUAUUAGAAAGCACAUCCAUAUAUGUAUUUAUUCAGAUUAUGAUAUGUAGUUAUAAACUUUAUGUAGAAACCCAUUAAGAUGACAAGUGCUGAAGGACAAUACGUGCCCUACUUUGAAUCAAUUAACAAUGACAUACUAACAUGUUAAGGCGUUUCCCUUCACACACCACAAUGUUUGGAUUGUAUAUAAUAGUAGAGAACGAUCUCCUAGCGACAUUUCUAAAUUUAUGGAUACAUCUGACAGAAAAAAAAACAAA